rnacentral:rRNA from 1 species
GAUGAACGCUGGCGGCGUGCCUAAUACAUGCAAGUCGAGCGAAUGGAUUGAGAGCUUGCUCUCAAGAAGUUAGCGGCGGACGGGUGAGUAACACGUGGGUAACCUGCCCAUAAGACUGGGAUAACUCCGGGAAACCGGGGCUAAUACCGGAUAACAUUUUGAACUGCAUGGUUCGAAAUAGAAAGGCGGCUUCGGCUGUCACUUAUGGAUGGACCCGCGUCGCAUUAGCUAGUUGGUGAGGUAACGGCUCACCAAGGCAACGAUGCGUAGCCGACCUGAGAGGGUGAUCGGCCACACUGGGACUGAGACACGGCCCAGACUCCUACGGGAGGCAGCAGUAGGGAAUCUUCCGCAAUGGACGAAAGUCUGACGGAGCAACGCCGCGUGAGUGAUGAAGGCUUUCGGGUCGUAAAACUCUGUUGUUAGGGAAGAACAAGUGCUAGUUGAAUAAGCUGGCACCUUGACGGUACCUAACCAGAAAGCCACGGCUAACUACGUGCCAGCAGCCGCGGUAAAAC